CGUGUAGGCGGAAGCUUAAGUCAGGUGUGAAAACUGGGGGCUCAACCCCCAGCCGGCAUCUGAAACUGGGUUUCUUGAGGACGGGAGAGGAAAGUGGAAUUCCUAGUGUAGCGGUGAAAUGCGUAGAUAUUAGGAGGAACACCAGUGGCGAAGGCGACUUUCUGGACCGUAACUGACGCUGAGACGCGAAAGCGUGGGGAGCAAACA
rnacentral:rRNA from 1 species